GAUGAACGCUGGCGGCGUGCCUAAUACAUGCAAGUCGAGCGAACAGACGAGAGUGCUUGCACUCUCUGACGUUAGCGGCGGACGGGUGAGUAACACGUGGGUAACCUACCUAUAAGACUGGGAUAACUUCGGGAAACCGGAGCUAAUACCGGAUAAUAUUUAGCUUCGCAUGGAGCAAUAGUGAAAGACGGUUCUGCUGUCACUUAUAGAUGGACCCGCGGUGUAUUAGCUAGUUGGUGAGGUAACGGCUCACCAAGGCAACGAUACAUAGCCGACCUGAGAGGGUGAUCGGCCACACUGGGACUGAGACACGGCCCAGACUCCUACGGGAGGCAGCAGUAGGGAAUCUUCCGCAAUGGACGAAAGUCUGACGGAGCAAUGCCGCGUGAGUGAAGAAGGUGUUCGGAUCGUAAAACUCUGUUGUAAGGGAAGAACAAGUACGUUAGUAACUGAACGUACCUUGACGGUACCUUACCAGAAAGCCACGGCUAACUACGUG
rnacentral:rRNA from 1 species